UACGACUACAUAUCAGGCAUAUCAAUAAGCGGAGGAAAAGAAACUAACUAGGAUUCCCUUAGUAACGGCGAGUGAAGCGGGAAGAGCUCAAAUUUGAAAUCUUCAAGGUUCUACCUUGACGAAUUGUAGUUUAAAGAAGUGUUUUCUGUUGAAGUUUCGGUAAAAGUUCUUUAGAAUAGGACAUCAUAGAGGGUGAGAAUCCCGUAUUUGACCGUUAUUUUCAGCUGUGUGAUACACUUUCAAAGAGUCGGAUUGUUUGGGAAUGCAGUCCAAAAUGGGUGGUAAAUUUCAUCUAAAGCUAAAUAUUGGCGAGAGACCGAUAGCGAACAAGUACCGUGAGGGAGAAGAUGAGAAGAACUUUGAAAAGAGAGUUAAACAGUACGUGAAAUUGUCAAGAAGGGAAGCGUUUGACACCAGUGUUGUUUUCUCGAAAAUCAAUUAAAAUAAUGGCUUGAUUUUGUGUUGUAUUGACCUUAAAAGCUUUCUUCACUUUUUUCAUGUCUAUUUUUAAUGCACUUUUCGUUUAACAAGUCAAGCAUCAGUUUCUUUUGUUGUAAAAAGGUCAUUGGAAGGUGGCUUUCUUUUCGGAGAAAGUGUUUAUAGCCUUUGACUCCUGCAAUCGGAGAGACUGAGGUCUGCAGCGUAGAUCCUUUUUGGAUUAGAUUCAUUUGUGCUAAGUUAUAGCUUUUUAUAGACAACAUGUUGACUAUAUUUAGUCUUGUAAGCUUACUCGCUUAUGUAAUUUUACCUACGCUUAGGAUGUUGAACGCGCACAGAGUCUC
rnacentral:rRNA from 1 species